rnacentral:rRNA from 1 species
AUUGAACGCUGGCGGCAUGCCUUACACAUGCCAGUCGAACGGCAGCACGGGAGCAAUCCUGGUGGCGAGUGGCGAACGGGUGAGUAAUACAUCGGAACGUGCCCAAUCGUGGGGGAUAACGCAGCGAAAGCUGUGCUAAUACCGCAUACGAUCUACGGAUGAAAGCAGGGGACCGCAAGGCCUUGCGCGAAUGGAGCGGCCGAUGGCAGAUUAGGUAGUUGGUGGGGUAAAGGCUCACCAAGCCAACGAUCUGUAGCUGGUCUGAGAGGACGACCAGCCACACUGGGACUGAGACACGGCCCAGACUCCUACGGGAGGCAGCAGUGGGGAAUUUUGGACAAUGGGCGCAAGCCUGAUCCAGCCAUGCCGCGUGCAGGAUGAAGGCCUUCGGGUUGUAAACUGCUUUUGUACGGAACGAAACGGCCUUUUCUAAUAAAGAGGGCUAAUGACGGUACCGUAAGAAUAAGCACCGGCUAACUACGUG